UACGGGGGGUGCGAGCGUUGUCCGGAAUCACUGGGCGUAAAGGGCGCGUAGGUGGUUUGAUAAGGGUGUGGUGAAAGUCCGGGGCUCAACCCCGGAUCUGCCGUGCCGACUGUCAAACUCGAGGGCUGUAGAGGCAGACGGAAUUCCGGGUGUAGCGGUGGAAUGCGUAGAGAUCCGGAGGAAGACCGGUGGCGAAGGCGGUCUGCUGGGCAGUUGCUGACACUGAGGCGCGACAGCGUGGGGAGCAAACAGG
rnacentral:rRNA from 1 species